rnacentral:rRNA from 1 species
GACGGAGGAUGCAAGCGUUAUCCGGAAUGAUUGGGCGUAAAGCGUCCGCAGGUGGCAGUUCAAGUCUGCUGUCAAAGACCGGGGCUUAACUUCGGAAAGGCAGUGGAAACUGAACAGCUAGAGUAUGGUAGGGGCAGAGGGAAUUCCUGGUGUAGCGGUGAAAUGCGUAGAUAUUGGGAGGAACACCAGUGGCGAAGGCGGCUCACUGGACUGGUACUGACGCUGAUGCGCGAAAGC